rnacentral:misc_RNA from 1 species
GAAAUAUUUACUUUUUUUUAUCUCCUUCUCCCAAAUAGAGAGUGGAAAUGAGCGUAAAAUUUACAUUAAAAUUUUUUCUACAUCUCAAACUAAGAUCCUGAAAAAAAAAAUCUCAUUAGAUACAUUGAACCUUCCAUGCUCAUAACAUCAGGUCAACUGCUUUCUACCAGCACUGAUCCGUCUCCCAUCUCCGGGUCGGGCAAUAUCCGUCAGAAAACCCAAAUCCUCUUCUUCUCCCAUAGUAAUUACUAGCCGAUUCAAGCGACAAAUCAUAGAUCGCUCUUGCCGCCGGAUCCGACAGCGUCUCGUAAGCGUUAUGGAUGUCUAUGAAAUCCCGGCCGUCCGAUUGUGCCUCUUCAUGGAUCGCGUCCGGAUGGUAGAGUUUCGCAAGACUCCUGUACGCUGUCUUGAUCUCCAUUUGCGACGCCGUCUGUUUCACUCGGAGAAUAUCGUAUAGACUCAGCGUCUUACCGGACUCCACCGGAAUCGACUCGACAAAUGUUGAAACAGAGGCCUUCAUAUUCAUUCUCCGGUGAGAUCCAACGGCUGAUGGAGUAGAAGGAAGAGCAGUCGGCGAUGCAACGAGUGGCUUACCAGCGGCGGGGAAAGGAGGAUUUAGGGUUAAUGUGUAAGUGGUGGCGAACAUUGAAAGAGGAUUUUAGGGGCCAAAUGGGUAGAGAAAAUAUUUUAGACUCAGAAGAUAUGUUCGAUGCGUGAACUGGAGACGGAAGAAAGAGUUUU